rnacentral:lncRNA from 1 species
GUGGUAAGAUAGAUUAUUUUAGUCUGAAUUUGAAAUGCUUCUAGAUGUCAAUCCAUUAACACAGUAUAAUUACACCUGUGUUUUAUUGACAACUUGGAUGUUUCUCAUUAAAUGUUUUGUUGUGUUGCUUUGCAAUCGGAGUUUAUCCUAUAUAACCUUUCAUUCGAAUGUACUUUCCAUAUACUUAUAUGAACAAUUUAAUCAUAUCAUGUUUCAUACCACAGAUUACACUAAAUGCAAAUGCAAUCACGACACAUAUGAAGAGUAUACUUAAAAAUGAAAUUAAUUAUUCU